rnacentral:lncRNA from 1 species
ACUCAAGUUAGUAUGUGAAAUAUGAAUGUUAGUUUCUCUGCAUCCUGCUUUCCUUGGAUCAAGCAAACUGUGAAAUAGGUGGAUAAAUAUGUUGUUAAGGUUGUCCCCUUUGUUGAUUUUCUUAGUGAUUUCACUUUGAGGCAGUCAUGUAGUUUUUCGCCGGGGCUUCUUGUUAUGUUGAGGGGAUAUAGUGUAGUGGGAUUGGUUUUUAUUUUUUAUUUUUUG